rnacentral:rRNA from 1 species
AGCUCCAAUAGCGUAUAUUAAAGUUGUUGCAGUUAAAAAGCUCGUAGUUGGAUUUCGGAGCCGACCGGGCGGUCUGUCGAGAGACACGCACUGCACGGUGGCUCUUCCUCUCGGAGGCCCUGGCUGCCCUUAACUGGAGCGGGCAGGGGAUUCGGGACGUUUACUUUGAAAAAAUUAGAGUGUUCAAAGCAGGCUUAGGCCGUUGGAUACAUUAGCAUGGAAUAAUGAGAUAGGGCCACGGCGGUCUAUUUUGUUGGUUUGCACGUUGUGGUAAUGAUUAACAGGAACGGUUGGGGGUAUUCGUAUUCAAUUGUCAGAGGUGAAAUUCUUGGAUUUGUGGAAGACGAACUACUGCGAAAGCAUUUACCAAGGAUGUUUUCAUUAAUCAAGAACGAAAGUA